AACCAGACUCCUACGGGAGGCAGCAGUGGGGGAUAUUGCACAAUGGGGGAAACCCUGAUGCAGCGACGCCGCGUGGGUGAAGAAGUAUUUCGGUAUGUAAAGCCCUAUCAGCAGGGAAGAAAGAAGACGGUACCUGACUAAGAAGCCCCGGCUAACUACGUGCCAGCAGCCGCGGUAAUACGUAGGGGGCGAGCGUUAUCCGGAUUCACUGGGUGUAAAGGGAGCGUAGACGGCCGUGCAAGCCAGGAGUGAAAGCCCGGGGCCCAACCCCGGGACUGCUCUUGGAACUGUGCGGCUGGAGUGCGGGAGGGGCAGGCGGAAUUCCUGGUGUAGCGGUGAAAUGCGUAGAUAUCAGGAGGAACACCGGCGGCGAAGGCGGCCUGCUGGACCGCGACUGACGUUGAGGCUCGAAAGCGCGGGUAUCGAACAGGAUUAGAUACCCCAGUAGA
rnacentral:rRNA from 1 species